UACGUAGGCAGCAAGCGUUGUUCGGAGUUACUGGGCGUAAAGGGUGUGUAGGCGGUUGUUUAAGUUUGGUGUGAAAUCUCCCGGCUCAACCGGGAGGGUGCGCCGAAUACUGAAUGACUAGAGUGCGGGAGAGGAAAGUGGAAUUCCUGGUGUAGCGGUGAAAUGCGUAGAUAUCAGGAGGAACACCGGUGGUGUAGACGGCUUUCUGGACCGUAACUGACGCUGAGACGCGAAAGCGUGGGGAGCAAACAGG
rnacentral:rRNA from 1 species